rnacentral:rRNA from 1 species
GGACAAACGCUGGCGGCGUGCCUAACACAUGCAAGUCGAACGGAGAUAAUAGACAAGUUACUUAUCUAUAAUCUUAGUGGCGGACGGGUGAGUAACGCGUGGGUAACCUACCCAUAAACUCGGGACAACCCUUGGAAACGAGGGCUAAUACCGGAUAAUCUUAAUACUUGGCAUCAAGGAAUAAGGAAAGGUGGCCUCUGAAAAUGCUACCGCUUAUGGAUGGACCCGCGUCUGAUUAGCUAGUUGGUAGGGUAAAGGCCUACCAAGGCGACGAUCAGUAGCCGGCCUGAGAGGGUGAUCGGCCACACUGGGACUGAGACACGGCCCAGACUCCUACGGGAGGCAGCAGUGGGGAAUCUUCCGCAAUGGACGAAAGUCUGACGGAGCAAACCGCCGCGUGUAUGACGAAGGUCUUCGGAUUGUAAAAUACUGUUAUUGGGGAAGAAAGUCGGUAUUGAGAAAAUUAAUGCCGUAUGACGGUACCCAAGGAGGAAGCCCCGGCUAACUACGUGCCAGCCGCCGC